rnacentral:lncRNA from 1 species
AUUCAUUCAGGGGCUCCCGAGCCACGUAGGCGCCAUCCCUGGCCAGAGGGGUUCUGAGGAGGUGGGCAAGGGCAGACACUCUCUCCCGGUCUCAAAUUCGAAAUAGGGACUAGAAGGGAACUUCACGCGAGGCCUCGCAACUGUCGCGAGAAUCAGAACAGGAAAUCUAGGAACCGAGAACACUAAGAGCCCGCGGAUUUUAAACAGGAAAAAGAAAGGGCGGAGCAAACUCUGGCGGAUAGUUGUGAGUAAUCCCUGGUCCUUGGAAUAAGUGUCGACCUGAGACAGAAGGGGAACUGUCAGAGAGCUGCCGGAGACCCUGAAAAAGGCCAGAGACGGGGACUUGUGGGGCUGACGAAUGGAAUCACCCAAGGAGAGGUCUCUGACUCUAACAAAACACCUUGGGGACGGAGCUCCUUGGCUGGGAUACAGAGCAGACAAGUCCGGGAUCUUUUAGUGAAUUGCUGCCGGCUUCUAAGGCCUGGAGCAGAUAUUCAACAACAAACUCCACGGACCUAGAAACUCUCCACUUAUCCUACUAUUGUAGACGGUGGCUUACUUUUAGUCUUCCCUAUGCUCUAAGCUUCUGGUAGUAGGAAUCGUGCCUAACUCACUACUGUAUCUUGUGAACCUAGCCCCGCGCCUGGUGGCACGUCAAAUUCUCGGUAAAUAUUUGUGGAUUAAAUGUGAAAGACUGCCUGAGUGUUUAACCUGGAUUUUCUGAGUCGCUGAUGGAGAACAGUAGGUAGACGGGGAACCAGCGCCCUCUGGUGGGCUUGUGGUUCGUGACGAGAACAUGCUGGAACCGUGCAUCCAGAUGCUUGUAUUGAAGAAGGAAUGAGGUAUAGAAUGUAG